ACAGAGGCCUCGAGCGUUAGGCGGAAUCACUGGGCUUAAAGCGUGUGUAGGCGGGCCCGUAAGUACCUUGUGAAAUCCCACGGCUCAACCGUGGAACGGCUGGGUAUACUGCGGGUCUUGGGCCAACUAGGGGCAGCCGGAACAAGCGGUGGAGCGGUGAAAUGCGUAGAUAUCGCUUGGAACGCCGAAGGUGAAAACAGGCUGCUGGGGUUGCGCCGACGCUGAGACACGAAAGCCAGGGGAGCGAACGGGA
rnacentral:rRNA from 1 species